AUGGAGGAAAAAGAUCUGAAGACAGAAAGGUCAAGAACCCACCAGCCAGUAACAGUUGUGUAAGACGUGGCCUGUGAUGCUAACCACACAUUGAUUCUGGACUCCAAGAAAUGAGUCUUCUCCUGGGGCUUUGGUGGCUAUGGUUGGCUGGGCCACUCGGAGCAGAACGAUGAAAUGGUCCCCGCUUGGUGAAGUUGGAGUCUGACUUCCUUGGGUGUGGGGCAUCCCAGAUCCAUGUUGGUUACACCUGCUCCUUUGCUGUCUGUGAAGUUGGUAGUCUCUUUUUCUGGGGAGCCCAAUAUCUCCCGUGAAUCUUCCAUGUACCUGAAAGCAGUGCAGGACCUCUGCAGCUUCAGAAUCCGGAGCCUGGCUUGUGGGAAGAGCAGCAUCAUUGUGGCCGCCAAUGAGAGCACCAUCAGCUGGGGGCCAUAACCAACAUUUAGGUAAUUGGGAUACAGGGACCAUGAGCCCGAGUCUUCCACUGCAGCCCAAGAGGUGAAGACUCUGGAUGGCAUCUUUUCAAAGCAGGUCUCCAUAAGCUACUCACACUCCUUGGUGAUAGCGCAAGAUGAAAGUGAGACCAGGAAAGAGAAGAUCAAGAAACUGCUAGAGCCAGUCUGUGAGAACACGAGUGUAGGCCCUGAAAACCUCCUGCCUGUGGCCUCUGUUUGGUCCUCCUGGACUUCCUGUAGGACCCUCGCCUGCAGUAACCAACAUCCUCACUGUGAACCUUUAUCUGUCCUUGGAGGGCGUCCAAAACCUAUUCACAUCCGCUUGAUUCUGUAUGCUAGCUCAUCCAGGCAGCCUGAGUCCAUGGCUAUUCAAGACCAGGAGUUAAAAUUGAAUUGGCUGCCCAAGAAUGAUUUACUGGAGGCUUCUGGAAAUGUCUCCCACAACUGGAUUAACUAUUUUGAUUAA